AACUUUUUCCAAGACUUGGUAACAAAGCAUUAUCUAUCUGUAUGAGAGAAAAGGGGAGGAGGACUGCUGAAAAAAGGGACGGGUUAAGGGUUUUGCACUAUAGUUUAGCUCUUCCAGCAGAACGCGGCGCUGUCAAGCUGUCAAUGUCUGUCUACCGCCUCGGAGACACAGGCCGCCGGGAAACCACAGGGUCGACGGGAACGGCGGAGUGUAGCAUCCCCGGGCCCCAAGUCCACAGUGCCUCUCCCACUUGACCUGUCGGCGCCCCUUCUCAAAGUACGGAUCUCCAAGAGGAAGGACCUCCUCCCUCUCCACUCUCAGAGUAAAGCAAGCCAGCAGCGCAAAGUGCACCUCCCGGGGACGCACAGACACGACUGAAAGCCACCACCCCAGAAACAGACCCUUCCUGGGAAAAUGCUCCUUCCAGAACCUUCUCAACACCACCCGUUUCCCCUGGGAGCGUUUACUUUGGAUCAGCGAGAUGGAAAACAAAGGCUCAGGAGAACAGGCCGGGCCCCUCCCCAGAGCCCGCCGCCAGCUGGCCCAGCUUCCUCUCGUGGUCCAGCUCGCGCUGCAGGGUGCCCGCGCGCUCCUCAGCGGCGUCCGCCUGCUCCUGCAGGCUCCGGAUCUUCCUGCGCACCGCCUCCAGCGAGCUACUCCCCGCCAUCGCGCCGGACGGUAGGCGGGCGGGAGGGCUGCAGUGGGAGAGGCCGGCUGCUGCCCUGCGGACCCGGCUGCCGCGGCUGUCCUGGCUGCCCAGCGCCGGUCCGCCCCGCCCAGGCCUCUCUGUGCGAUGGCGGCGCCCCCUGCGGCCAGGAGCAGUCCGGAAGUCGCAGCCUCCAGGGCUGCGCAGACAAACCGCAGGCGGGCGCGCGCGGCUGGGAGGGGCGCGCGCCGUGGAUCCCGGGACUGGCUGGGGGCACUGCGCAUGCUCGCGGCGGCGGGGAGAAAGGCGCUCCCGGCGCGCUGCGGGGGUACCUGGUGAGCUGGGCGCUCCGGGAGGCCACUGCACUAGGGCUCUGGCUUCCACUUCUAGGGCCCCUCCGCGGCGCGGUGGUGACCCGGGGUAACGGAGCUGGCUGCUAAGGGCAAUAGCGACUCCUGCUGGCCGCGGGAGCGCUCCGCUCCCGAGUCCAGAUUCCCAUGCCCGGGAGCCAGAGAAGCUGAGCGGCGGGUCUGGAGCCGGAAUAUGCCCUAAAGGGCCUGAUCCCAACCGCAAGAUUAUAACCCAAGCACUACCCCCAUUCCCCAAAACUUCACGAAGUGAAAACCACCCGCGUGUAGAGCACAGUGGUUAGACCUCCUGUUCUAAAUGCAGUUUUCCUAGGUUGACUCUGGCUCCUAGUUUCCUGCUGCGUGACUUCGGACACAUUACCUGUCUUCUCUGGGCGUCAUCUGUAAAAGUGGGAAUAAUAAUAGUACUUUCCCCAUGGGGCUGCUAUGAGAAUUAUGAAGGACUGUAAAGCGCUUAGCACAAUACCUUGUACAUAGUUAAAAACUCAAAUGAUAGCUACGAUUAAGAAAUACACAAGCAUUGUUUUAAGAGUCAGGCUGAGGCCCAUAAUCAGCUGUGUAAUCUCAGGCCAGCCUCCCUGGGGCUCACUUUCCAUGAAAACAGUCAUCCAAAUGGUCUCUUCUCUUUACAGCCUUCUUUGGUGUCAGACCAGCCUCUGAGAUCUCCUGGAAUCCAGUCAGUCCUGGGCUGGACUGGGAUGCCUUUAAAAGGCACCCCAAGGAAAGCCACAGAACCCUAUGAGAGAGCCUCUGGCUACAGGUGGAGAAAACCACCGCAGAUACAGUCUCCACCGAUUUCCCCCUUGAGCUGUAUUCUUAAAUGCCUUCUAAGUCUCAGGGCUUUUUCUCCUCAGGUUUGUCACAGAAAGCUCUUAAAGCCAGCUCCCUUAUGUGUGGGAAUAAUAAAGAAAACAUGCUUGACAACCCUCUCCUCCUCCAAGCCCUAACAAGGAACUUUUGCUUUCCUGCCUCAUUUUCUGUGGAGUUCCUCACAGCCUCUGCUGAGACUCUCACAAAUCCCAGCUUGGGUCCUUGCAUCCUGUAGGUGGGAGCUUCUCGCUUUGUUUCCCCGCGGUUCAUCUGGUCAGGUGGGGAGGUUACAGCUGGUCCCCUAAGUGCAGAGACUGUGGGCCUCCAACAUUGAGAAUGGGGGAACCGGGUGUCUGGCAACCUCCAGGAGCAGCCAGGAAACUGCUGGACACUGGCAAGUGCCAUAAGCAGCCAACUAGUGACUUAAUGUCCUGGGAAGGUCAGUUUCAGGUGAGUUCAUUUUCAUGCCGAUGUCAUUAUACAAGAGUUUAGGAGAGUUUUCUCAUCCUUGUCUGUAGGUUGGAAUCACUUGGGUAUUUUUUAAAUGCUGCCGCCUGGGUUGCAUCCCCAGGGAUUCUGAUUUAACUGGCUUUGGGUGCAUCCUAACUUUGGGUUUUAAAAGCUCCCUAAGUGAUUAUGUUUAGAGAAGGUUGAGAAUCCCUAAGUUAAGAAGUAAAGACCUACAAAGGGAUAAAGACUCAUAUGCUAUAAAUAUCAGAUAUAUCACAGUUACUGGGGAAGAGAUUGGGGGCCAGAAAAAAAUGGAGUCUUCGAUCCCCUUCAGCCUCACUUUUGACUUAGGUGGAAAGACAACACAAAAUUCGAAACAAGACCAUCAGGGAUACUACUCCUGAAUGACAAUCUUCUAAGCUAGGUAGAGCCCACUUCCAGAAUAGGAUUUGUAAAGUAGUAGAAAAAUGUUUUUAGUAAUAAUAGUAGAAAAAUGUAAAAGUGUUUUACACUGGUGAAUAAUGACAAUGAAAUGUCCUAAUCCCAAAGGUAAUACGAUUCCACCUCAGGAAGCUGACUUCUCCCUUACCGGACUUCUCCCUUUUUCUAGUGACAUCUGUCUCUUCCUCCUCAAGUUUUGACUAUUUUUUAGUAAAUAAAAAACGAAUACUCUCAAUAUGGUCAUGCACUGCAUAAUGAUGUUUUGGUCAAUGAGGGGCUGCAUAUAUGAGAGUAGCCUCAUAAGAUUACAAUAGAACUAAAAAAUUCCUAUCGCCUGGUGAUUUGUGUUACAAUUGUUGACAGUAUUCAGUACAGUAACACACUGUACAAGUUUGUAGCCUAGGUGUUUAGUAGGCUAUACCCUCUAGGUUUGUGUAAGUACCAUACACUCUAUGGUGUUUGCACAAUGAAUAAAUCACCUAACGACACAUGUC